rnacentral:rRNA from 1 species
CAGUAGCCGCGGUAAAACCAGCACCUCGAGUGGUCAGGAGGUUUAUUGGGCCUAAAGCAUCCGUAGCCGGUUGCAUGAGUUUUCGGUUAAAUCUAUGCGCUUAACGUAUAGGCCGCCGAAAAUACUGUGCAGCUAGGGAGUGGGAGAGGUACACGGUACUCGAUAGGAAGGGGUAAAAUCCUUUGAUCUAUUGAUGACCACCUGUGGCGAAGGCGGUGUACCAGAACACGUUCGACGGUGAGGGAUGAAAGCUGGGGGAGCAAACGGGAUUAGAUACCCGCGUAGUCCCUGUCUCUUAUAA